CAGCCGCCGCGGUAAUACGGAGGGUGCAAGCGUUAAUCGGAAUUACUGGGCGUAAAGCGCACGCAGGCGGUCUGACAAGUCAGAUGUGAAAUCCCCGGGCUCAACCCGGGAACUGCAUUUGAAACUGGCAGGCUGGAGUCUUGUAGAGGGGGGUAGAAUUCCAGGUGUAGCGGUGAAAUGCGUAGAGAUCUGGAGGAAUACCGGUGGCGAAGGCGGCCCCCUGGACAAAGACUGACGCUCAGGUGCGAAAGCGUGGGGAGCAAACAGGAUUAGAUACCCGCGUAGUCCCUGUCUCUUAUAA
rnacentral:rRNA from 1 species